rnacentral:tRNA from 1 species
AGCAUCUGACUUUUAAUCAGAGGGUCGAAGGUUCGAGUCCUUCAUGGCUCACCA